AAUACCUCCUUAAUCAAUCCCCACUCAACCCCUCCGGGACCCUCAGCCGAGCGCCCCCAGCACCUCUACGACCCCAUUUCCCCCCAGGUUCUUUAUGAACUGUUCCAAAGGGGCAUGCCUCGGGGGGCAGAGAGGGGGAUGUAGGCAGCUUUUUGGGGGGCUGGCAGCCCGGUGCGGGAGGCGGUGGAGCUGCGGGCCCGCCCAGGGCCUGCCCGCGUCGCCUGGGGCGAGCUCCGCAGCGGCGGCCGUUGCUCCAGCGGCGGCCAUUGCUGCAGCGCCUCGGCCGGGAAGAUGGCGCCGCCCCGCGUCAAGUGCUGCCAGAAGGUGCUGUCCUGGUUGCCCGUGGUCUUCAUCGCCUUGGUCGUGGCCUGGUCCUACUACGCCUACGUGGUGGAGCUGUGUUUGUUUACUAUAUCUUCAACUGCAGAAAAAGUUGUGUACCUUGUGGUUUUUCAUCUGUCAUUUGUCAUGUUUGUAUGGUCGUAUUGGAAGACAAUUUUCACAUCUCCUGCAUCCCCUUCCAAUGAGUUCUGCUUGUCAAAAGCUGAUAAAGAACAAUAUGAAAAGGAAGAGAGACCAGAAUUCCAGCAGGAGAUUUUGAGAAGAGCUGCUAAAGACUUGCCUAUCUGUACGACAACAGCAUCAAGAGCCAUCAGAUACUGUGAUCGAUGCCAGCUAAUCAAACCUGACCGCUGCCACCACUGUUCUGCAUGUGACAUAUGUGUACUAAAAAUGGACCACCACUGUCCGUGGGUGAAUAAUUGUGUGGGGUUUUCUAACUACAAAUUCUUCCUCCUGUUUUUAAUGUAUUCCUUACUGUACUGUCUGUUUGUUGCUGCUACAGUCUUGCAGUACUUCAUAAAGUUCUGGACAAAAGAAUUGACAGAUGCCUAUGCAAAAUACCACAUACUAUGCCUUUUCUUUGUGGCAGCCAUAGCCUUCAUCGGCAUACAGUGGCUCUUCAGCUACCACUGCUGGCUAGUUGGCAAAAACAGAUCAACAAUAGAAUCACACCGUGCACCCAUGUUUCGAAAUGGACCUGAUGAAAACGGCUUUUCGCUUGGAUAUGGCAAAAAUCUAAGGGAGGUUUUUGGAGAUGAAAAGAAGUAUUGGCUGCUCCCUAUUUUUACCAGUUUGGGCGAUGGGUGUAAUUUUCCAACUCGUUUGGUGAUUAUGGAUCCAGAGAGAGUAACUGUCUCAACCCAAACUGAACCUGCCAAAAGCUCUGGAGCCAGUCAGCCCUUUCCUCCUCAACCACUCAGUGAAUCACAAGUUCGAUUGCUAGCCAGUGACGAUCAAUGGGUAGAAAUUGACCCUGAAGAGGAAAACGUUAAAUAAGGUAGACUGCACCAUAACAUUUCUGAUUACUCUGUCAUUUUGUUCAUGGUGGGUGGGGUGUUUGGUUUAUUGUGUUUGUUUUGUUUUGUGGGUGUUUUUUUUUUUUGGUUUGGUUUGGUUUGUUCUUUUUUAAGUCUAAGAAGUCCUUAGGAAUUGGUUGGAGUCAAAUAGAGGACAACAUGUUACAUAUAAUCCAGUCGGCGUGUUUAUAAGUUGAGGUUAACUUGUGUCUCUGGCUUUCUAGCUCCCUCUUCUGAGACAUUUUGGAUUGAUUAUAUUUGAUUAAGGGGGAGGAAAAUAUUUAUCUGAAAUAGGUACAACAUGAUAAGCAUGGUUUCUGGUUUGGAGUCUUUGGUACUUGCUGUGCAAAUCUGGAAAAAAAAACAACAAAAAAACACACAAUUGAGAUUUUCUCAUAUUUUAGGUACAAAAAAGCAUCUUAUAGUUUCAUUGGAAAGCUGAUCUCAGCUUAUUACUAACCAACCAUCUCAAUGAGAAACAGGUUUCUGCAACAUAUUUUGUGCUUGAAUAUUACUUAAUUUUGUUUGGAAGAAGUUGAUCAGUAAAAAAAUGGAACACGAACAUUUUAGGAAGAGACAAGAAAUUCAAGUUUCUGCACAGUCCAAGGGAUUCUUGUAAGCACUAUUGCAGAGCAGGGAAGUUAAGACAUGCCUUAAGAUUCUUAACGUGCAUUUAUGCAGCACUGAAUUAUAUAUAUACUGCUACCAAAGGGCCAAAUCCUGAAGUGCCCUGCUUGGAUGCACAAGGUCCAGAGUGGGAACUAUGCAUUUCUGUUAUGCUGCGGUGGUGGGGGUAGAUCUGCAAGGACUCCUACCUCCUCACAGGCAAACUUUACACCUUAGGCACUGCAGAAGCCACUUCCAUAGCAGGUUCUGCAGAGAACAGAAAGAAAGAAGAAAAAAAUAAAAAUAAAGAAGAGGGGGAGGGAUUGGAUUGUGGGGAUUGACAUAGAGUGUGGCUGAUGAGUCUAAAGUGCAACUGUCCAUAGCACAACACCAGGUUUUAUUGAAAGGAAGGGACUGGGUGAUAAUGGUUGUAGCUCUCCAAGUAUGUCAGGACUGAGGAUUCCUUCCACUGGCUGUGCUAUGGAACAAGGCAAUGCCAACAAAGCAAAAGCCUUUUACUUGGUGUUGCUUUUUUGCUAUAGAAUUGAGCCCCCUCAUCCUUUUAACUUGAUUUAUUUAACCAUAUCAAGAGCAUAGCUCAAAGUGAACUGUCUUUUAGCUGCAAGUACAUGGAUUAUUACUUUUCAACAAUUGCCUCUCAGCACACAAAGAAAAGCCAACCCAAGAAGAAAUGAACGAACUGUUACAUUUUCUGUUAAUGUCCACAGUGUUCCCUAUGAGGCAGUAACAAAACGGCAAAGUACCCCUGAGAAAAGGGUUAGUGCAGUUGUGUGUUGUUAGCAAAUGGAACUGGAAGAGUACUGCUUUUUAUAUGGGACUCUUGAUGGUUUAUAAAUACUGUUUUAUACUUUUGUUUUGUCUUUUUAAUGUAGGCACAAGUUUUUAUUGGUUUAUAUUCUAAAGUACAAGUUCUAAAGUUACAAGUUUAUAUUCUAAAGUACCAUUUAAACAAAUUUCAAUAGUUAUGAGAAAAUUAGCAUUAGCACUUGUGUUACCACACCAAAACUUUGUUGACACAGAAGUAAUGUUGAAUAUUGUUGACACAGAAGUAAUGGUCCAAACUUCGCAUGUUAUGUUCAGAUGUUGCAAAAUGUGUCUUCAAACUUUGUAUGAUAAAUUUUGCAUUUGCUAAUUUUCAAAAUUAAAAAACGUUUGCUAUGCAUUAA